ACCCGCGGCCAAAGUGGGCGGGGCCCCGAGGCCAGCUUGGGGGCCGACCUUCGGGAGCCGGGACUUGGGUCCCGGAAAGGGCUCGGAAACUGGAACACCGAAGGCGGGCUGCGGUGAGACCGUGCGAGAACCUACCUCGCUAGGGACAGGGCGUGCGGUGCCUCGGCUUCCCAAAACAAGUAGCAAAACAAGCAAGUGACGAGAACGGUCUGAGUCCGCAUCCGCCACGAUUCUCCAAUCAGGCCAUUUGUUAUGGGAACUCUCCACCAAAAGAUAAACUCCUUUCUCCCAGAAAAGAAGCUUCACACGUCAUGGAGGGAUUGUGUUGGCGGUCGUAUGACCAGUGUGAAGUGCAUGAAUGCAAGAUGGCUGAAGGAGGGGAAGAAGUGAUCCAGUGGUGUCCAAAUGCUUUGAAAACAACUUGAGGGCAAUUCUCCUUCAGAUCGUUUUGGAUACAAGUUGAAGUCGGGAGGAUUGGGGCCUUUGUUGGACCUUCAGAACACCGUCUGCAGUGGUUCUCAGUCUCUCUGCAAGGCUACAGGAUCGCCAGCCGGGAGGCACCUGACUCCCUUCCUGCCCCACAGAAGCACUCCCUGCGCAUCAGAACCAGCGCCACCAAACUGCUCUCUCUCCUUUGCUUGUUCUCUCCAGCCUUGUUCCCACAACUUCUAAUUUACCCGUUAUCAUCGGUAAGAACAUAAUAAAUACUUUCUGAAUAAAUAAAUAAAUUAGAUCAUAUAUUCAUCCAAAGUCCAGCUGAAU